GACGAACGCUGGCGGCGUGCCUAAUACAUGCAAGUCGAACGCUUCUUUCCUCCCGAGUGCUUGCACUCAAUUGGAAAGAGGAGUGGCGGACGGGUGAGUAACACGUGGGUAACCUACCCAUCAGAGGGGGAUAACACUUGGAAACAGGUGCUAAUACCGCAUAACAGUUUAUGCCGCAUGGCAUAAGAGUGAAAGGCGCUUUCGGGUGUCGCUGAUGGAUGGACCCGCGGUGCAUUAGCUAGUUGGUGAGGUAACGGCUCACCAAGGCCACGAUGCAUAGCCGACCUGAGAGGAUGAUCGGCCACACUGGGACUGAGACACGGCCCAGACUCCUACGGGAGGCAGCAGUAGGGAAUCUUCGGCAAUGGGCGAAAGUCUGACCGAGCAACGCCGCGUGAGUGAAGAAGGUUUUCGGAUCGUAAAACUCUGUUGUUAGAGAAGAACAAGGACGUUAGUAACUGAACGUCCCCUGACGGUAUCUAACCAGAAAGACACGGCUAACUACGUG
rnacentral:rRNA from 1 species